rnacentral:misc_RNA from 1 species
GAUGAAGAACGCAGCGAAAUGCGACAAGUAAUGUGAAUUGCAGAAUUCCGUGAAUCAUCGAAUCUUUGAACGCACAUUGCGCCCCUUGGUAUUCCGAGGGGCAUGCCUGUUCGAGCGUCAUUUCAACCCUCAAGCACAGCUUGGUCUUGGGCUUCGCCGCUAACCCGGCGGGUCUUAAAAUCAGUGGCGGUGCCGUCGGGCCCUGAGCGCAGUAAUCUCUCUCGCUAUAGGGUCCCGGCGGAUGCUGGCCAGUAACCCCCAAUUUUCUAUGGUUGACCUCGGAUCAGGUAGGGAUACCCGCUGAACUUAAGCAUAUCAAUAAGCGGAGGA